ACGGAGGGGGCUAGCGUUGUUCGGAAUUACUGGGCGUAAAGUGUGCGCAGGCCGCCGAGCAAGUCGAGUGUGAAAGCCCCGAGCUUAACUUGGGAACUGCGCUCGAAACUACUUGGCUAGAGUGUGGCAGAGGGAGGUGGAAUUCCACGUGUAGCGGUGAAAUGCGUAGAGAUGUGGAGGAACACCGAUGGCGAAGGCAGCCUCCUGGGUCAACACUGACGCUCAUGCACGAAAGCGUGGGGAGCAAACAGGA
rnacentral:rRNA from 1 species